GACUAACGCUGGCGGCACGCCUAACACAUGCAAGUCGCACGAGAAACUUCGUAGCAAUACGGAGCAGUAAAGUGGCGAACGGGUGAGUAAUGCAUGGGUGACCUGUCCUCAAGAUGGGAAUAACCUCGCGAAAGCGUGGCUAAUACCCAAUGCCAUUUCGGUUUUACGGAUCGGGAUGAAAGAUAGCUGUUACAGGCUGUUACUUGAGGAGGGGCCCAUGUCCCAUCAGCUAGUUGGUAGGGUAACGGCCUACCAAGGCUACGACGGGUAGCUGGUCUGAGAGGACGACCAGCCACACUGGC
rnacentral:rRNA from 1 species